rnacentral:rRNA from 1 species
UACGGAGGAUCCUAGCGUUAUCCGGAUUUAUUGGGUUUAAAGGGUGCGCAGGCGGAAUUAUAAGUCAGUGGUGAAAUCCUGCAGCUUAACUGCAGAACUGCCAUUGAUACUGUUAUUCUUGAGUAUAUUUGAAGUGGGCGGAAUGUGUCAUGUAGCGGUGAAAUGCUUAGAUAUGACACAGAACACCAAUUGCGAAGGCAGCUCACUAAACUAUAACUGACGCUCAUGCACGAAAGCGUGGGGAUCAAACAGG